rnacentral:sRNA from 1 species
UGCUCUUCUAUCUACUGAGAUAAUGAAC